CGCUUUUAUGAGGGUAGCCACGAGGGAGGAUGCGCCGCGAGUAGAUUGCUGGGUGCGAUAAAGGAAGAAAAAAGGAAUUUUUGGGUCGUUAAUUUAUUUUGGCCGGCGAGGUCUGAAAGAGAUGCGUUGCAUUAAUUGCGUUAUCUUGUCUCUAAAUCUCCCUUUAUUUAUACAGAACGGGCGGUUUUCGUAACCGCCACUUGAAAAGGGCGUGUAUCUCAUGCUUUGUUUGGUUUGAUAUGCGAAGAAGUAGUUUAGAUGGAUACUUGUGUCUAGGUUGUUUCCCUGAACGACCUCCUUGAACUACCGAAGAAGUGGUUAAGAACGGCCUUGGUUACUCCUUAGUCUAGGGGGUUUACAUUCGGUAGAACAAAGGUAACGCAAGAAGGAAAAAGAGACUGGGUUGUCAGAAGAGGGUUAGGACGUUACUUUGUCUAGAUACUGAAAGUCCAAGAACACUAACGACAGUCACCCUGGUGCAUCGUUUUACUUUGAUCUAUCGUCUACGCAUAUAAAGAAUAAGGAUCACGCGGUUAUAGGUCGAUUGUACAGAACGUGUCUAGCGUGUUAUGUAUCAACAUAAUGACUACCCAUGUAUAUUUACUUUUUGACUGUGACUACAACAUGUAUGUUCUCUUUACAUUACCAAGCUCCCCGUUUCUGUAUGGAGACUAAUCAACGCUUACGCAUCAGUCUUCUAACUUUAAUAAUUGGUGGAACAAGUCUUACCCUUUUGUUGUGUCUAAGGAGAGGAAAGGUAACAUGACACUGUAGCUUUAUUUAUCAGUAUCGCUCCAAUAGCGACUAAAUGUUGUGUAUAUACAAAAGAAGAGGAAAAGGAACAUAAACUUGGUUAACGAUUUCACUCAUGAUUAAAUUUGUCCCCCAGCUUCUUUGAUGUCGAUCGUUACGUUGUCUCGUCUAACUUUUUUCCCACGGUUUCUAACCGUACGUCAAAAAUAGACUUCUUCUUCGUAUAAGGAAGAUAUUGUUCAUACGAAUAAGGAACCCAAAAUCGUAGGCUUCUCCGUUAGUAGUAUUUCAUUUUUUUAGGUCAUGUUAUGUUGUUGCCUGUAAGUGUACAAGAGCAGUUCCAUACCUAAUCAAGAUUGAACGAGAGCAGUAAACUUAAAAAUCUACGCUGAUUCUUUUAAUGAAGUUGAUUAUCCUCAAGCACGCCUUCUAUUUUCUCUCCUCUUUAAGUCAAUAUCAUCCGGACUCUGUGCUACACCAACACUACGUGCAUACUUCUAUUCAGAAUUAUUGUCCUAAAUAAUACAUAUGCUUAAAUUUCUUCGGGUAUUGGUAUCAGAACGAUGACCUUUGUACAGCGUUAUGAAUUCUAGUGUGUCCUUUCAUUGACUUCGAGUUGAUCGGUUACGGCUCCAACGUUUCAGUCACCCGUAAAGUUUAUUUCGUUGAUAACUAGAUUACUGCUUUCUUCGUACACCUGGACUUUUGGAACCGAAAUAUUCAUGACUGUACUUUUUAACAAACAUGAGUUUCUCUUGUGAUUUUCAUUUCCACCCACUGUGCCCACCUCACAAUCUUAUAUACCUCUUCUUCCAAAGUCUUCUACAGUUCAAAAAAAUAAGUUAAGUUCAACUACUCCUACUAAACUAUUGAUUAUAUAAAACCUGCCUGAGGUUUUACCAGAGUCUGAUACGUAAUAAACCACUACAGUAUACGAAACUGUGGUGUCUGUCCUUUGAUCUGCUACCCGCAGGCAAACCAAAUUAACAACCGCACUUAUUAGUGUUUUUUUGUUAACACAAACCACGACGUGAAGAGAUACUACUUUGUCGCCUUUCAAAACGAACCGAAAAAUCUUGUAAAAAUUCUCAUUACAGACCUUUCGUAGGUGUAUGUUAAGAUUGACCGCUUCUACGUCGUUACCGAUUCCGCUAGGCGAGUCAGGACGGAGUGAGAGUGGUAUCUGAAACGCACACCGUAUACUUAGUUUUACAACAGUUUGUUUAACCACCUCAACAAUGUCUAAUGUUCUUCAAGUUACGACUAAAAGUCGUAACAUAGAUACUAUAACUCCUCCUUCUACUUAAAUAUUCACGUACCUAACUUUACGAACUGUUCAUACUUGAGGCCCUGUUACGUACCGAGGUUUCCAAUAAACUUUUUUCCCUCGUAACCCGGGAUCACAUACCGUCCUUAUGAAAGAGACGUGUGUACUCGUCAUGGGUUUCCUCGCUUUCGUACUUGUUGCUUGAUUUUGCAAUGUAAUCAAGAUUCAUACUGUACGAAUGAAAAAAACUCGUAAAGCUUGCAGAUCAACGUCUAUUUUCUAAACUUCUCCACUCUACACUGAAGUUUCGUUGUGUUUCAUGAGGGUUCGACUUCCGUCUUUCGAUAUACAACUCCGUUCGUAGUUGAUGUAUAUGUGGUGGUUAUAAGUUCUACAAAGUCCUUGUUCACGAAGCCUGGAAUUUGAUACUGUGUAAGGAAACACUACUGUCACUGUGGCUCCUCUUCCAAAUGUUUCAUUUUAAGGUACCAUGUCUCGCACUAGUACAACAAUUAAAAAAAGGCUUUCUUCUUUUCCAGUUAACAUCAACGUUCUUCAAACUUAAACGACCUUAAGAAACGAGAGUAAGGAACUUCCAUGAACUGUAAUUAUUAUAGUUCGUGUAGGGAGUUAUCAUGUAGAACUUUUCUACCUGUUAACUACGUUUUCAAAACCUAUAUUGUUCGUUGAUGUUGGACGUACUUCUGGCGUUUCGUUAUGACUGUUUUGCGAUAUUUCUCAACACGUCUUACAAAUAGGUUUAUCGACGAGCUCGGCGUCUCAGACUUCUCAGUAUGAACUACCGACGAUUAAUACAUCUCUUUAAUCGUCUUCUACACCUCUUUACAGAUUUUGUAUCUAGACUAGGUCUAUGUCCAUUGAGACAAACAAGUGUUCCAUACAUGUAAGUCAAAAUACGAGAAUAGUUCGAAUUUAAAAUGAAAAUAUCAACGUCUGAGUUUGUUAUACUGGUGAUGUUCAAGUCUUGUCUUACUCUCCGGAUGGUUCGGUUUUCCUUACUUCCACUUCCUCUUCUGUUGAGCUCCUAGUUUGUCUGUAGGUCUAUAUACAUUGAGGGAACCGUGUUCCAGACAUUCAAAUCAAAAUACUAGAAUAGUUUGAUUUUAUAUAACGAAAAUGUCAACGUCUGGGUUUGUAAUUGAGCAGAUGUUCAAGUCUUGUUUUACUCCCUAAACGGUUAGGUUGUCCAUUAUUCAAAUUUUUCUUCUGACAAGCUCCCAGUUCAUCUGGGCGACUAUACCCACACAUCAAAAUAUUACAAUAGUUUGAACUUAAAAUAAAUUUAUAUAUAAAUGUCUUGGUUUGUAAUUGAGUAGAUGUUCAAGUUUUGUUUUAUUCCCCGAACGAUUCGGUUUUCCAUAGUUCAACUUCCUCUUCUGAUGAGUUCCUCUUUCAUCUGGAUAACCACCGAAUCUCUUUCGUUUUAGUUUCUCCUUUUCCUUUCAUCUAUUAGGACAUCGUGAUGUUGGAGUACCGUGGAGUUACCAUAUUUAUUUAAGUGUGAACUAGACUAUAUUUUUGAAUUCAAUAUGAUCUAAAUAGAGUGGUAAAGAAUAUCCCAGUAAGCUUCCAAAAAUACUUAGUUUACGGACGUAUAGAUGGUGUCAUGUUGGGUUAGGAUUUAGGAUACCGCUACAUACCUGUUCUGGUUUCUAACGGUCGACUUAACGUUGUAAUGUUAUCGAAUUACCAUGUUCGAUGGAUGUGAGUAUAAAGGCAAAAUAGUAAAAUUUCUAAAUACCUGUGAUUACAAACGAUGAUGAUGAGUGUCCCAGUAAACCCCCAAGGCUGUUUAGUGCAAAUAUGGAUAAGUCUUGUUACGUUUAGUCGAGACCUACAGAGUGAUAACGGUAGAGAACCCUGGUACUCUCCUGUGGGUCGAGGUUUACGGAACGAUGUUGGUAGGCAACCAUGCUACUCUCCUGAGGGUCGAGACUUACGGAGCGACGUCAGCAGGUAACCAUGCUACUUGGUUCGAGAUUUACGGAGCGACGGCGGUAGACAACCAUGCUACUCUCCUGCGGGUCGAGGCUUACGGAGCGACGUCAGCAGGUAACCAUGCUACUAUCCUGUGGGUUGUAGUUUACGAAGUGACGUCGGUAGGCAACCAUGUUACUGUCCAGUUUUAGUUCAGAAGAAGGUUGUUGUCUUCGGUUGAAUUAGACGGUAGCAACAGUCUCUGAGUAUAAAAAAAACCGAUAGGAUUUUUGAACAUAAUAUAACGACCUAAAUACCCCUCAGACACGUAUAGCUAGCUUACGUGUUGAAUUAAUUCACUCUCGUUACGUAUGAACUACAGGUUUUCGUAUCUAAAUUCCACAUUCACAUAACCAACUAACUGUACGCAUCGAAUUAGUUCAGUCUGGUUUUCGUAUCAACGAACGUAGAGUGGGUGGAGUGUGCCUGUUUUCUUCGUAAACCAACUCUUUAAUCUUCUCGUCGUUGGUAGAUCAACUCAUUAACCUGCUAGCAUGGAAGAUCGUGCCGUUCAGAACCUUCGAGUCAUCGACCCAGCGCCACCUGCGCCGCUUGUCCCGGUGCUUCCACUGGCGGCUCCUCCCUGCCGCGCAUCAAGUGGCUGCUCGCGGCGUGGCCCGCUGCCUCCGACGCUGGAGUCCUUGCCGCGCUUCGAGCGGAUGCUCGCGGCGCGCCCCGCUCGCUGCGGCACCGGCGUCCCGACCACGCGUCAAGCGACUGCUCGCGGCGCGGCCCCGCUGGUGCCUCGCGAGCGGCUGAUUCUGUUGGCCGACCUACUCGGUCGAACGCCCCUACAGGGCCUGGGAGGACGAGGCUGUACGUUCGUCUAGUUGCAGCGCCGCAAGCGGCCGGCACCUCUUCAAUGACGAAACGGACACCCUUUCGCUCACCUAUUCUCUCCUCUGCUUUACUCGCCGACCAGAAAAAG
rnacentral:rRNA from 1 species